UACGAAGGGGGCUAGCGUUGCUCGGAAUUACUGGGCGUAAAGGGCGCGUAGGCGGACAGUUAAGUCAGAGGUGAAAGCCCAGGGCUCAACCCUGGAAUUGCCUUUGAUACUGGCUGUCUUGAGUGCGGGAGAGGUGUGUGGAACUCCGAGUGUAGAGGUGAAAUUCGUAGAUAUUGGGAAGAACACCGGUGGCGAAGGCGGCGCUCUGGACCGAGACUGACGCUGAGGCGCGAAAGCGUGGGGAGC
rnacentral:rRNA from 1 species